AGAUUCAGGAAUAUACAAGCCACAAAUAAUACAACGAAGUUAGGUGAUAGCCAAGAGACUCGGGCAAAUUAUCAGAAAUAUUCAAAUAACUGAGAUCUAACUCUAUGAGAGAUGCACUGCUGUUCGAUUUGGUCUUUGGAAAAUAACCACUGAGUUGAAUGUUUUUCAAUAACUGAAGCAUUUCCAAGUUUGGCAGGUGAAAAAUACUCUCAGGUAUUAUCCCAUACAAUCCUGUAUUUGGCAGCCUCAGAGUUGUGAAAUGAGAAGAAAAAUUCAGAGGAAUGGAGGAAGAGAUGUUUAUAGAAGUAAGAUCAAGCUCUAUUAAUUGGGUCAUGUUCUGAAGGAGCAAUUUAAAAUCUUGAGCAAUGAGUCAUACAUAAAAAUAGAGAUGAAGAAACUGCAACUUAG
rnacentral:misc_RNA from 1 species